rnacentral:misc_RNA from 1 species
AAGUCGUAACAAGGUCUCCGUUGGUGAACCAGCGGAGGGAUCAUUAAUGAGUUUUCUAAACUCCAAACCCUUGAGAACAUACCUAGUUGCCUCGGCGGACUUGCCCUGGGACGACCUACCCUGCAGCGAGUUACCCUGUAACGAGUUGCCCUGUAGGGACCUGCCCUGUAGCCUGCUCGCCGGCGGCCAACCUAAACUCUGUUUUAUUGUGGCACUUCUGAGGAUUAUUCUAAAUGAAUUAAAACUUUCAACAACGGAUAUCUUGGUUCUG